rnacentral:rRNA from 1 species
AGCGGCAGACGGGCGAGAAAUGCACAGGACUCUGCCUGGUCGUGGGGGAUAACGUCCGGACACGGUCGCUAAUACCGCAUACUAUCCUAUGAGACUAGGUCGGAUUAGCUAGCUGGUGGGGUAAAGGCCGACCAAGGCGACGAUCCGUAACUGGUCUGAGAGGAUGAUCAGUCACACUGGAACUGAUACACGGUCCAGACUCCUACGGGAGGCAGCAGUGGGGAAUAUUGGACAAUGGGUGAAAGCCGGAUCCAGCCAUGCCGCGUGGAUGAAGAAGGUCUUCGGAUUGUAAAGCACUUUAAGUUGGGAGGCGUUACCAACAGAAUAAGCACCGGCUAACUUCGUGCCAGCAGCCGCGGUAAUUC